rnacentral:lncRNA from 1 species
CAGAAGUGGAGCACGAGCCAGCUGACAAGAGUUCUGGCACCAAGAAGAGCUGAUCCAGGUUGCCCAGAGAAGCCGUGGUGCCCCAUCCCUGGAGGCAAUCAAGGCCAGGCUGGAUGGGGCCCUGGGCAGCUGAGCUGGUGGGGAGCAGCCCUGCCCAUGGCAGCGGGUUGGAAGUGGGUGGGCUUUGAGGUCCCUUCCAACCCAACCAUUCCGUGAUUCUACGCCUUAAGCCUGAAAAGCACAAGUCUCAAUUUUGUGCCGCCACGCUGGCUGUCUGCAGCACCGUCAGAUGGUAUUUCCAGGCAGAUUCACUGCGCGAGAGCAAACAGAGGGCGGUUGGCCCAAACACUGGCAUAACUAUUCACGCUGCUCCUCGAGAUUCAUCUGCCUUCUCUGCCCCUGCAGAUGCUUCCACCCAUGCUCUCCAAAAGUGAGAGAAAUCUGAUUUACCCAACCGCGUUUGUAAAGAGAAAGAUACAGGAAACGUCCACAUAAACAACUCUGAAAAGUGGCAACAAACUUCUGAGCAAACUUUGGAGAGGUAACAGCAGUCAGCGAUGAGUUUUCAUAGCCGAUAGAUGCCGAAUACAUUCCUUUUGCAAAAUGCCAAAGGACUUAUGGUGAUGUAUGGCACAGCACAUGCUGCAACUCAAAGAGGAUGACAGAAAUAGCACUAUAAGGCAAAGCAAACAGUUACACAUACUGGAGAAAUCACAAGUCUGAGCUACGUACGUGCAUAAUAAACCUCAAAGAAUCCGUUCGAAAUAGGGAAAAAGGCAUACUUUUGCGAGUAGUUCUGCGUUCAGUUCCUGAGCUCUGACAUCUCCAAAAGCCAUUUCUCAGAAGGACAACGCAACUCCGGAUACCCAGCCAGCCUUAAGCGCUGCUGGGCGAGCAGAACGCGAUCCAUCGCCGUAAAACCGAAAGGAAACGCAGCAGAGGCAGAGGCUGCGAAAGUUUCCCCGAGCUUCGCUCCGUUUCGAAAAGGAACCGAGAGGCUGCGAGAGCCGUUUGAUGUGUUUGUCUCAGCAGUGGAGAAAAAUCACUUCCUGGGAUUCCUCAUUUCCAUCCAUUAUUUAAAUGACAUAAAAGUGAUUCUAAGUAACAAUUAGUAUCUCCAGUGUCAAAAACUCCAAUUACAAAACUCUAACUGGAAGGAAGCCCUGCAGGGAUUCUACACAUCUACAAGGAUGACUGCAAUGUGCAUUAAGGUAAUCACAGAGAAGUAAAUGUGCAGUACUGUUAGUGACUACAGGAAUAACAGAGCAUUUGCCAGAGCUUUUUAGAAAAGACCAACCAACAAGAAAUCAAGGAUUAGGAUGCUGAAUGAUUGUACCUGUUCCAAAUGCAUGACGCAAGUCUGGCACAACUGUGCCCUCUUCUAGCUGAAGGAAUAAGAGCAUCUACUCAUUUCUGAAAGGGUAAUGUCCCAAGUGUUUGUUGGUAAAAUGAGACAAGAACAUUUGCCUUGCUCACAGUAGAUUCUGAGAACCAGUACAAGGGCAAUUUCCUUAAGGAAAACUUGAAUAUCUAAAAAUGAAAUAAAGUAAGUGAAAAAGACUGGUUUGGUUCAUACUGUUUUCCUGUCUGUUCAGAAUUGCUUUCUACAAUAACUUUGUAAAAGACAAUCAAAAUUAUUAAUAGAUUCAGUUUACUAGCUUGUAACUAAUUAGCUAUUGAAUCCAUUCUACUUUUCUUCCUCUCAAUAUGUCCAUAAGCAAACGAACACUGUCUUUACAUGCUCAACAUUGUAUUGAAAGAUAGGUCUGUGCUAUGAGGCAUGACCACUCACUGCUUGAAUAAUGUGGUUUUCAUGCAAUUAAUCAUUGAAGCAUAGAAUGGCCUGGGUUGAAAAGGACCACAAUGAUCAUGUAGUUUCAACCCCCCUGCUAUGUGCAGGGUCGCCAACCACCAGACCAGGCUGCCCAGAGCCACAUCCAGCCUGGCCUUGAAUGCCUCCAGGGAUGGGGCAUCCACAGCCUCCUUGGGCAACCUGUUCCAGUGCGUCACCACCCUCUGAGUGAAAAACUGCCUCCUAAUAGGUAACCUAAACCUCCCCUGUCUCAGUUUGAGAGCAUUCCUCCUUGUCCUAUCACUAUCCACCCUCAUAAACAGCCGCUCCCCCUC